rnacentral:misc_RNA from 1 species
UCAGAGGCAUGGACACCUUAAUCCGAUAACGCACACAUAUGUGGCAGAGAGAUCCCCGUAAACCCCUCGAUGUCGACCCUUCUCCUGGGAGAGCUUCUGAUGAGUAAGAGCCUUAUCUCGCGAGAGGCUUUGUGUGGCUUUUUUCAGUUGCGCGAGAAAAAGUAAACUUAUUUGAAUGAAAAUCGUUCGUCGGUGCUGAUCGCGCUCUCUUCUCCCAGAAACUUGCGAAGAAAGGGUGGGAAAAGGACUCGGUAGAUCGCUCCACAAUGGGUUGGUGGAACAAGAAAAACGAGACGGACCGCAGCCAGCCGACGGGCCAGGAGCUGGUGCUGCAGGAUCCGCGAACGCGCGUCAAGACGACCAGUGCAGCCACUAAAACGACGAACACCGCCGUGCAAAACUCUACCAUUACGGAUAGCAACAAACAGACAGUCACGUUCAUGUCCACCCGUCAGACCGUGACGCACACGCAGCAAGCUAGAGUUACCGAAAUUGUGACGCGGCGGACCCCCAGCCAGGCCGAGUUGGAGGCUCUUUUCGCCCAGAUGAGAAUGGGUAAUGAUGGCGCUACCACCACUACAACCGUCACAACCUCGCGGUCUCGACCCCCGAGCCUAAACGGGGUUUCACUUCGCUCCGCGCCGUCCUUCAAGGCCUCGGCCAAUACCGCCGGAAAGCGGUCCAGCACGCUGGUCAAGACAGAGCAAACCACUGUGUCGAAGAAGAACGGCAGGACAGUGACUCAGCACCUGGAGACGCAACGCGUCGAUCUGAAGGGCAAGACCAAGCCCACCUGGCCGCCUUUCUCUUCCUCAUACAGCACAUCGACGCCCACGUACGUUUCGCCAUAUGCCAAGAAGCCCGGUUUGGGGGCCAUCACCUAUACAUCGCCCUACUCCAAAGCACCAUCUGUCACUGCCUCAACCUCAGCCUCCAGCUCUGUUAGUAGCCUUUCCAGCAACACCAAGCCCUCUGCCAACUCCUUCACCAGCAUCUUCAAGCCAUCAGUCAAGCCGACUUCGAAGCCGGUCGAGCCGACGCCGUUUGUGAGCCUGGGCAACUCCAACUCCUAUUUGGGCGGCACAAAGCCCAAGGCGAGCGGCAGCAUUUUCGACGCCCAGGGUUCCCACAAACCGACUAUCCCGACUGCAGUGGCGACUGCCAGGCCCAAUGUAUCAAAAUCCAAGCUGAAGCCAGCCCGUGUUUAUAUCUUUAACAACGAGAAAUUCGAUACCAAAAAUGAGUUCCGCGCGGGCAGUGCCCAGGACGUGAAGGCCCUGCGGAACUCCUUCGAGCAGCUAAAAUGUAAAGUAGAGGUCAUCACAGACGCCAAUCUGGCCACGGUCAAAAAAACGGUUCGCAUGCUGGAAACAAAGGAUUUUGCUGACAAGAGCGCCCUAGUUUUGGUAAUGCUCAGCCAUGGAACUCGCCACGACAGGCUCGCGGCUAAGGACGAUGAUUACUCGCUCGACGACGACGUUCUAUUUCCGAUUCUUCGCAACCGGACGCUCAAAGACAAGCCCAAGCUUCUGUUUGUCCAGGCCUGCAAGGGAGCCAACGAGCUAGGCGGGUUCAUGACGGAUUCAUCCCAACCCAACGGGUCGCCAAACGAGAUCCUCAAGUGUUAUAGCACUUACGAGGGAUACGUCUCCUACCGCACUGAGGAUGGAACUCCCUUCAUUCAAACGCUCUGCGAAGCUCUGAACAGGUCGGGAAAGACCUCCGACAUCGACACCAUAAUGAUGAGUGUCCGGCGGGUGGUGAAGGCACAAACCAAGGAUGGCCAGAUCCCAUCUGUCACCAGCACACUUACCAACAAGUACGUUUUCGGAGAUUUUAUUUGAGAUUUUUAUCAAGAUUUGACAUCCACCAGUAUCAUAAUCAAAAGUCUUAUAGCUACAUAUUUUAGUUGCCUAGCUUUUAUCGUUGUGAUUCACAAAUAGAAUAAUUAUUUUACAAUAUCCGUUAUCGAUUGUGGAUUUUAUCUCUGUGUUCUUCGUUUGUGGUGUUGCGGUGCCGUGAACUGAUGCAUGGAAGGAACUUUAGGAUAGUGACGGAAUCAAAAUAUCCAUUGCGAAAUCUUCAACAACAUAAUGGUUGUUCAUUCAUUCUAAUUUUGACUUUUACGAUUGCGUGAACUGAGUUAAAAAUAAUAAUGCCUAAGAGGAGAGCGACAGCUUAUUAUCCUCAAAACGCGGUCACGAAAGUGCGGCAAAAGUCCCCUAUAAAAAUAGCUAAGGACAGAAGAAUAGGCACUAAUAGGUCAGGAUAAUACGCGUACACCAACGUUGCGGCCAUUGAGGGCGGUAAUGGUCAAGUCAGAACGCCGACAAGGUCUGGUGUAUCAAAUUACGUGAUCUGCAGAGACAAUCAGUGGCGAAAAGGACUAAUAGAUCCUGCGGAAUCUAUGUCCAUAAGAAAACGCAGCGCUGCAUUGCAGAUUUGAACCAAGAUCAUUUUGGUCCAAAGGGUGCAAAGCAAUGAAGGAGUCAUCGCCGAACCUGCAAAGUAUAUAUGUA